GGGGCUGUAGCUCAGAUGGGAGAGCGCCAGCUUUGCAAGCUGGAUGUCAGGGGUUCGAUUCCCCUCAGCUCCACCA
rnacentral:tRNA from 1 species